rnacentral:rRNA from 1 species
AUGAGUAGGAGAAAUGGAAGUUUGGGCUUUAGAAGGAUUUGGUGUUGCGUGACUCAAUUGGUCUUAGUUAGUCUUCGGGACGGAGUGGAAGAAGGGCGGAGACUCUCGAACGAGGAAAAGGAUCCCUUCGAAAGAAUUGACCGAGGAGCCGACUACAACGGAAUAGUAUACAAAGUCAACACCAAUGAUUAA